rnacentral:lncRNA from 1 species
UAUCGAAUGUCUAAAAUUUAUCACGAAUUAUAAGCUAAGGUAGCUUAUGUUGUUCAACUCUAUCUACACAUAUUUGCCUUUUUAACUCCAUCUAUGCAUGCUUUUUAAACACCAUCUUGCUCCAAAUAACUUAUGCAAUUAAUAUCUGAAAUCAAUGACAUGCACGUAUACAUUCUUAAACAAUGUAUUACUAAUAAAUUUAACAAUUUAACAACAUAUUGACUAAUUAGCGAGGAGCAUAUUAUGCUAGUCUUUUGUUAGACUCUUUAUCUAGAGUCCGUUUGAUACAAGAGCUAGUUUCUAGCUAGCCAAAAAAAAUCCUAGUUCCUAUUUUUUAGCCAAAUCUUCAACUAGCUAUAGGUCAAUCUCAAUGUAUGUUUCAUGAGAGUGUCAUGCACAUUAAAUAAGGUGUCACAUAAGCAAAAUUGCUGACUUGGUAGGGUCAUUAAAUGAAGAAGUUUCAUUAGAUAAGAGCACUAGUACAGGGAAGGGCUUUAGCCCCGGGCCGUAAGCGCCUUUAGGCCCGGCUACGGAACCGGGGCUAAGGUUUCGGGACUAAAUGUCCCACCUUUUGUAACACCAAAAAAUUUUGUUUCUUUUAAAUAGAUGAAAUGAAUUUAAAUGAAUUUAUUUUGUGAGCAUUUUCACUAUAGGAAAAUAAAUAAAUUUGGAGAAAUUAAAAUUUGUUAUAAACUUAGAGAAAUGUUUAUGUUGCAUUCAUGCCGGAGCAUUUCUUUUGUGAUGAUUGAUUGGAAAACAAAGUGAUUCUUUUAUUUUCUUUUUCCUGCUCAAAAUCUCAAUUGGAAAAAAUUUGGUUUUUAAAAAAAAGGAAAAAAAAAGGAACUUUUUUUUCCCCUUCCUUUUUUGGGUUGGGAGGCCAAGAAACCCCCCCCCCCCCCCCCCCGCGCGCCCCAUCUCCUUCUUGGGCCGGCCCAGCCGCCUCCCCCUCCCUUCCCCCUCUCUCUCUCACCCGCUGACAGGCCGGGCCCGCCUGUCAGCUCUCUCUUCCCCAAACCGCCGCCCGCUUCUUCCUCUCUCUCGGUUGGAAACCGCCAGGCCGCGCCCACCCCGCUCCCCCCACGUUCCCUCCCCGCGCCUCGGCUUUAAGUUGGAGAAAACCCCGCGCGCCCGAGCUUUCUCCCCCUCCCCAUUUUCUUCUCUCCCUGCCUCUGCUCCUCCCUUCUCGCGCAGAAAACCGUUGCCGGAGAAACAAGCGCCGCCGCGCGUCGUUCCUCCAUUUGGAGCCCUUUUCGCCGCGUUUCGUCGCAUUGGUGAGCCUCCUCUUCCC